GCCCACCUAGCUCAGUCGGCAGAGCAAUACUCUCGUAAAGUAUAGGUCGGCGGUUCGACUCCGCCGGUGGGCU
rnacentral:tRNA from 1 species